AGGCCCGUAACGGCAAAAAUCGUCUAUUCCGUUCAGUUUCUUUCUCCCGAGUGCUAAAAUUUUUUAUUUUAGUCGGCGCGGUGUCCACUAGCAAAGCACCAAUAAUUUGUAAUGGUAUUGGACAAAGAAGCGCCAUUGUGGUGCAAUUUGAUGUUUUUGCUGUGUCCUACAGCAAAAUUUGUAAUGUCUUGCCAAAAUAACAGCAGAGCACCUGCAACUGCAACUCCGCAAAGAACACAGGACAGUCAUAUCGCACAGGAAUUUAAGCUGAAGAAGGAGGUGAAGAUUGCAGAUAAUAAUAUACUACUAGUCUCCACGCUGUUGACAGUGCAGAAAGCCAGUUCAGCACACCCUCAUGCAUGGUGGACCUCGUUAUUGUCGCACUAGUUACAGGAAGGGCUUUAGCCUCGGGCCGUAAGCGUCUUUAGGGGGCUAAGGUGCUAAGGUUUCGGGAUGUCCCACCUUUAGUUCCGGUUCCGUGGACCGAGACUAAAGGUCCUUUAGUCCCGGUUGAUAACAACAACUGGAACUAAAAGGUGCGCCAGGGUGUGCCAUCUGGCCUCCACUUUUAGUCCCGGUUGUUGCUACCAACCGGGAGUAAAGACUUUUUUCUUUUUUUUUUCUUUUCAUUUGGUUUUCCAUUUAGGUUUACAAUUAUGUUAUUGUUAUUUUCGAAUGCGUAUUGUUUGCUGGUAGUUUAAGGAACGCGCACCUAUAAUUUAUAUAAUUUAAAGGAUUACAUAUAAAUAUACUAUAAAACACUAUAUAUAUAAAUAAUAUGUAUCUAUAGGUCCAUAAUAUAAUAUAUACACAUAUGCUUCACGGACAAAGUAUUUACAACACAAUUUAUCUCCGCCACUCAAGCAUGGUACAAAUGAUCAUCGUUAUUUGGUUUCAUCUGCUCCUGAGGGUUGAAGUAGCACUUGCCGCCGGGAUCCAGGACUUGGUCGUUAAAAAAUCAUGCGAUUGUCUCCUAAAUUCCUUUUAGGCGCACUGCAUCCAACACCUGCUCCUUCAGCCACAUCUCCUUUAAUAGACAUUAAAGAAAAAAGUUAGAGGUAUGAAUAGGAUUUAUUAAAUAGCAACAAAUAAAUGAAAUAAACUUAUUAUAUAUACAUGUUACAUACUUUUAGGUGCUCAAGAUUAAUUCUUUUGGCAUACACCGUCAUAAACUCGCACACAUAGUAGCCACGCAAAUUGUUGCCCGGUGUCUGCCGUAGAACCCACUGAAGUAAGAUGGGCUUUGAAAGUGCUGCAUUCAACUCUGGACGGUGUUUCGGCACGAACCCAGCCCAAACCCUAACAACAAAACGAUCAUUAUUAAUUAUCCAUUACCAAGUUAAAAGAGCAGAAUUUAAUAUAUAGAGAUCGGAGUUACCCUUGGAUAAUAUCUAUCAUUUCUUGGUAAUCGUCCUGUGGUUUUCUCAAUGAGUCAUAGAUUACCAAUUGACAUUGCCAGAGAUCAAUGACAAUUAGUAUCCAAUGAAAGCUGCAUUUGUGUGCAUAUGUAGGCAAAAUUAAUAUAUAUUUUCAUAUUGAUCUGAUUAAUUAGUUAAAUAGAAUGUACACACGAUAACGACACUUACUUAAAGUUGUAGGGAAAAAGUAUAUAUCUUUUAUCUUUUUGGUUGAUCAAGAACCUCCGUAGAUUUCUCUCCGUUUGAGUUCUCCAUAAAACAUACGGGGUCUUGUGGUCUUUGAAUGCAACAUUUGGAUCCACAAAUCCAAUCUCCUUGUCAUUUCUAACUCUGAGGUCCCUCAUCAUGUUUCUGCAUAUGUAUAGCGGGUUUCUGUAAUUAGUUAUAUAUAUACAUGAUAAGUUACAGAGACAUUAUUGAAAGGAAGAAUCACUUACAGACAGAAGCAACUCAUUAGAGAUUUGUCA
rnacentral:lncRNA from 1 species